rnacentral:rRNA from 1 species
UACGGAGGGAGCUAGCGUUGUUCGGAAUUACUGGGCGUAAAGCGCACGUAGGCGGCUUUUUAAGUCAGGGGUGAAAUCCCGGGGCUCAACCCCGGAACUGCCCUUGAAACUGGAGAGCUAGAAUCUUGGAGAGGCGAGUGGAAUUCCGAGUGUAGAGGUGAAAUUCGUAGAUAUUCGGAAGAACACCAGUGGCGAAGGCGACUCGCUGGACAAGUAUUGACGCUGAGGUGCGAAACCGUGGGGAGCAAACAGG